UUGAGUAGUGAACCAGCUUUGCAUUCCUGGGCAAUGCUUCCACACAGGACAUAGUUCAGAAGGCAUUAGAAGGCAUAGAGUAAAAAGGGAUGGAAGAAGAUACUUGGAAAAAUCAGGGAAGAGUGAAGAAGAUACUUCAAAAAAUCGGGGAAGAUUUUCAUCAUAAGGUCCAAGCAAAGGCAUGAGUAUAAGAUAUUCCUGAGCCUGAGUCUACUGACAAAUAUACCACAUCCCCAGAGUAAGUUGGAGUCUCUUAAAAUUGUCUUGCUGGCAUCUAGCGGAGAUUGUCCCCACAAGCAUGUUCCUUAUGACGGAUGCCUGGGUCAGAACACAUAAUACAUUCCUUUUUAUAAGCACAAAGAUUCUGAGAAGCACUGCCCCUCCCACGUGUCACACUCUGGGGAGAGAUUAUUGGAAUGCCUCUUGGAUCAGGUAUCUUUGGUGAUCAUUCCACCUAGUUAAGAUGAAGCUGGUGAUAGCCUUUGGCUUGUUUCAGUCCCGAGACAUUGACCUGGGAUACAUCAAAACUCCUUCCCUUUUGGCUUCCAGUGGGAUUUUACCAAUGGAAACCCAGCAGGAGACUGAAGAAAGAAAGGAGUGAGGGCUGGCUUGCUAUUAACUAGUGCCGCAGGACUGCAUGGAGGUUGCCCUACGCUCAACCACACCAUGACCUCAAUCUCUCUACCAAGACCUUGAUCUCUGAUGUGGAACUUUGUCAAAUGCUGUCUGCAAACGUAAGAGCAUGCUCUUCCCUGCAGGAGGACAAAGCCGGAGUCGUCUUCGAAAGGCAGAGGAGCGCUGAAUGAAUAAACAUUGGCAUUUCAUGGUGGGGCUUGCUGUCAGACCCAAGCUACUUCAGAUAGAACAUUUUGAUUAGAAAUUUCAAGAAGUGUUGUUUGGAAGGGCAUCAUUCGUCCAUUGUCUAGUGAUUUUACAGAAUAAUACUUUUACAAACCACUUGUCAAUGGAUUGAAGAAGAAGAAAGUUGCAGUCAGGUGCUUUGGACAAAGCAUUGUCCCAGACGUCACUAGGGAAAUGAAGAAAUGUUUUUCCUCCUUUCUGUUCAGAAAAAAAGUAGUUGUUAUGAAGGUCUUAGGAGAAGAUAAAUUAGACUGCUUUUCCUGGGAGUGGCUUGAUGGACUGUGAAUGAAUAUUCAGUCUUUUUAGAGAAAAUUGAUUACAUUUUAAGGGCUGUUAUAGGUUUUAUGAGCAAACAUAUGCAUCCCAUUCCAAUUUGCUGUAGGAUGAAUGUAGUUCUUUAGAACAAAGUGCAAUUAAAAUAUAUAUAGAAACAGGAUGACAAGAGUUCUCUUUUAGGAGCUGAAUAAAACUGGAAACCCAUAGAAUGUCAAGAUUUUUAUCCAGUUAAGUUUACAGCUAUAAACUUCUUCAAACUCAGUUAAAAUAGUAAUUUGUUUAACUUUUCACUAGUCUUCAUGUUAGGAAUGGAGUGUCAGAGGAUGAGAUGUACAAAUAGUCACACUGCCUUAGCCGAUAAAGAAACCUGAGGAAAAACUGUGAUGUAAUCUCUUCUCCUUUCCCCCCUCCAACGAGCCUGAACUCUCAGAAUCAGGGAUCAGAUUUAUGAGGGAUGUUUAAAAUCCAUUUCUUUUAGGUUUAAUAAACCAAAAUGUUCAACUUUCUCGCAAAAUUUUCUAAAUUUUAUCUGCAACUGUUGACAUUCAUGUUUUUAAAAAGUGCACACCUAGAGUGACAAAAUAAGAAACAAAUGUAUUUAAGUUAAUGUAGAAUUUUUAUGAGUAUCUUAUCUAUAGAGUACCAAUUUUUUUAAAGAAACAAAACAUUAAAAAGUUUUAAACUCUAUAGAAGUAUUAUGCCAUAGGGCUUUAUAAAGAUUAAGUGAGGUAAUAUAUAACAAGUGCUUAAAACAUACACAGUAUUACAGUAGAGUUAGCUUUAUUAUUAAUAGUAACUCAAGCCUAUGAUGACCAAAACUGAGUUUUUGAUUCCUGCAAGUUCAACAUCUGCUCCUCCCCUUGUCUUUCUGUUUAAUAAGUUGUUACACCAUCUACCCUAAUUCCUGAAUUCCAAAACCUUGGAGUCUUCUUUGAUUUCUUUCUCAUGUUCUCCACGUUAGUAGGCCCUGCUGCUUUCCCUCCUCAGUGUAUGCUAAACUCAUUUAACUUUCUCCAUUUUUACUGACAAUGCACACCAUCAUACUCUGUCAUCUAUGCCACUGUAACACAUUCUUAAAUGGUCCCUCUGUUCAACUGUUGCCCCUGCAAUUCAUUCUAUAUGUAGUGGUGAAAGUGAAUACAUAUAAACACAAAUCAAGUUUUGUUACUUGAUGGAAACCCUCCAAUAAUCAUUCACUAUGAAUAAAAUCCAGACCUUUUGCUAUGACCCUCAAGACCCCAUGUGACCUGGUCCUUGCCUACCUCUCUGGCCUUGGCUCUCACAAUUCUGUCUGUACUGAUAUUCACCAGUCAUAUUGGUUGUCUCUUUUUUCCUAAAUUAAGCACUCUAAACUCAUUUCUGCUUCAGAGACUGCAGAUGCCAUGCUCUGUGCCGGAAACUCUCUUUUCCCUUCUCUGGUUAGCUCCUUCCCAUCAUUCAGGUUUCAGUUCAAAUGAGGCUUCUCUGAGGACUGAUCUAUUAUUUGCCACAGCCAUUCUUUAUUCUCUAUGGCAUCCUCCAUAUUAUUUUCUUUAUAAUACUUCUUAAUGUGUGAAUAAUUACUGUGUGGAUGACUUCCUUACAUAGUUAUUUAUUUGUUCAUGUUCUUGCUUACAUUUCAUUGUCAGCUUCUAGAAGAAGAGCUCUUUAAGAGCAGUGACCCUGUCUGUCUUGAUCAUGGAACAAAGACUGGUAUAUCCAGAUGUUCAAUAAAUAUUUCCUGUAUGAAUACAUGACUAUGUUUCAUUUUCCUCUUCUUUCCUCCUUUUGCCCCUCACUUCUCUGUCUUUUUUUUAUGUGUCUCUCUCUUUCUCUGUCACUAUCUUACACAAAAGGAAUAUAAAUAUAUAUUUGUAUAUAUGCAGAUAACUUUGUGCCCCCAAUGUUAUAGAAAUCAUUACAUGUCAGUAUAUUUUGUUCUACCUUAUACUUCUAAAACAGUUGUAAGAUAUUGUAUGAAUGAAUCAUAAUUUAUUUAAUCAUUCUCUAGUGAGAGACAUCAAGAUGACUUAAAUUUUUUUUUUCUUAGGUAAGUAAUCAUUGCUGUAAUGAAUACUUUUGCAUAGUCUUUUUUGCUCACAUGUGCUUGCAUUUCUCUAAAAUACAUUUCUAGAUGUGGAAUAACUUUGUCAUUUAAAAAAAUUCUCUCUGAAAAGGCUUAACCAAAAAUAUAGAAAUUUGCUCAUUUUUUCCACCUUUACCCAAACUAGAUAUUAAUAUUUUUUAAAAGAAUUAUUUCUCCUUUUUUUGACAAAACAUUGGUAUCUGGCUGGGCAUGGUGACUCACACCUGUAAUCCCAGCACUUUGGGAGGCCGAGGAGGGCAGAUUUCUUGAAGUCAGAAGUUCAGGACUAACCUGACCAACAUGGUGAAACCCCUUCUCUACUAAAAAUACAAAAAUUAGCCAGGUGUGGUGGCAUGUCUGUAGUUCCAGCUACUCGGGAGGCUGGGACACAAGAAUCGCUUGAACCUGAGAGGCAGAGGCUGCAGUCAGCUGAGAACGCACCACUGAACUCCAGCCUGGGUGACAGACCUAGAACCUGCCUCAAAGAAAACAAAACAAAACAAAACAUUGAAAUCUUAUUUUUAGAUUAUCUUUGUCUGAUCUUAGUGAGGUUGAUGACAUUUCUGUGUAUUUAUUGGCUAAUCAUAUUUCUUCUCUGAGUUGCUUUCUCUUAUUCUUUUCUCAUUUUCUGUUACAUUGUUUAUUCUUUUUGCUUUGUAGGAGGUAGAUAUAUAUUUUGAUUAUAAAAAUUUUUACUAUUACAUAUGUUGAAAAUAUUUUUUCUAGUUUGUGCCUUGUUUUUUAUCUUUGGCCAUAAGAUCUUUGAAAAUACCAAAGUAUAAAAAUUAGCCAAAUCUGUCAAAUGUUUUCUUUAUGGAUUUCAGAUUGCAAUUUAUUUAAAAAGGCUUUUUAAUUUCAAGACUAUUAAAAUAUUUCAAUUUUUUCUCUAAUGUGUUGUAUCUUUAAAUUUUUUACAUUUGUCUUUAUACCUCUCUGAAAUAUACUUUUAGGUAUGUUGCAUGCAUAUAUGGAAUUGAACUUCAUAUUUUCCAAAUAGUCAAUUAUUAUAUGGCCGUUUAUAAAAUAGUCAAUUUUUUCUAAAUGAUUCAAAUUUUUAAGUGCUGACAUAGGCAUUUAUCUCCCU
rnacentral:lncRNA from 10 species